rnacentral:rRNA from 1 species
UACGUAGGGACCAAGCGUUGUUCGGAUUUACUGGGCGUAAAGGGCGCGUAGGCGGCAAUUCAAGUCAGCUGUGAAAUCUCCGGGCUUAACUCGGAACGGUCAGCUGAUACUGCUUUGCUAGAGUGCAGAAGGGGCAACUGGAAUUCUCGGUGUAGCGGUGAAAUGCGUAGAUAUCGAGAGGAACACCUGCGGCGAAGGCGGGUUGCUGGGCUGACACUGACGCUGAGGCGCGAAAGCCAGGGGAGCGAACGGG